rnacentral:rRNA from 1 species
AUUGAACGCUGGCGGCAGGCCUAACACAUGCAAGUCGAACGAGUGGCGGACGGGUGAGUAAUGUCUGGGAAACUGCCUGAUGGAGGGGGAUAACUACUGGAAACGGUAGCUAAUACCGCAUACCAUCGGAUGUGCCCAGAUGGGAUUAGCUAGUAGGUGGGGUAACGGCUCACCUAGGCGACGAUCCCUAGCUGGUCUGAGAGGAUGACCAGCCACACUGGAACUGAGACACGGUCCAGACUCCUACGGGAGGGCGCAGUGGGGAAUAUUGGACAAUUGGGGCAAGCCUGAUGCAGCCAGGCCGCGGGGAUGAAGAAGGCCGUCGGGGUGUAAAGUACUUUUAGCGGGGAGGCGUUACCCGCAGAAGAAGCCCCGGCUAACUCCGUGCCAGCCGCCGCGGUAAUAC